rnacentral:rRNA from 1 species
CCUACGGGUGGCAGCAGUGAGGAAUAUUGGUCAAUGGACGCAAGCCUGAACCAGCCAUGCCGCGUGCAGGAAGAAGGCUCUAUGAUUUGUAAACUUCUUUUAUAUGAGAAUAAAGUCAGAAACGUGUUUCUUUUUGAAUGUAUCAUAUGAAUAAGCAUCGGCUAACUCCGUGCCAGCAGCCGCGGUAAUACGGAGGAUGCAAGCGUUAUCCGGAUUUAUUGGGUUUAAAGGGUGCGUAGGCGGUUGAUUAAGUCAGAGGUGAAAGUUUGUGGCUCAACUAUAAAAUUGCCGUUGAUACUGGUUGGCUAGAGUGUAUUUGCGGUAGGCGGAAUGCGUGGUGUAGCGGUGAAAUGCUUAGAGAUCACACAGAACUCCGAUUGCGAAGGCAGCUUACCAAGCUACAACUGACGCUGAGGCACGAAAGCGUGGGGAGCAAACAGGAUUAGAUACCCUGGUAGUC